rnacentral:tRNA from 1 species
GGUCUGGUGGUGUAGUUGGUUAUCACGUCAGUCUAACAGCUCGAGAGCCUUACCCUCUCUCGUCUGCCACACUGAAGGUCUCCGGUUCAAGUCCGGGCUAGAUCA